ensembl:lncRNA
CUGUGUAUAUUUGAUAAAAAAUACAGUAAUAAUUGUUCUCUAUUUUAAUAUAUGAAUUAAUUAGUUAACUAAAACCAUAAAAAACAUUAUGUUAGUUAAAAUAAAAUAAAUAUUAACUAUAUUAAAAUAUUAAAAUAUUUUAGCAUAUUUCCAAGGCAAUAUUUCUCAUUUUCAUUUAGUUUAACUUACUGAAAUAAACUAAAACUGAAAUAAAAAUGAUAACGAUUAAAAUGAAAAAUUAUAUAGUUGUGUUUAAAAAAAUGCUAAAACUUAAACUAAACAACAACAAUUAACAUGAACAGCAGAUAAAAUAAAAUCGAAUUCAAAAUAUUAACAAAAACUACACUGCUCAAAAAAUUAAAGGAACACUUUGAAAACAUCAGAUCUCAAUGGGGAAAAUAUGCUGGACAACUAUACUGAUAUGGACUAGGUAAUGUGUUAGGAAUCAAAGGAUGCCACAUCGUUUGAUGGAAAUGAAAAUGAUCAAUCUACAGUGGGCUGAAAAUUUCACAAAACCCCAAAAAUUUCACAAAUUUCAAAAAGUGAAAAAAUGAUGCAGCAGUCUAGUCCAUUUUGCUGAAACUUCAUUGCAGCAACUCAAAAUGGUACUUAGUAGUUUGUAUGGCCCCCACAUGCUUGUAUGCAUGCCUGACAACGUCGGGGUAUGCUCCUAAUGAGACGAAGGAUGGUGUCCUGGGGCAUUUCCUCCCAGAUCUGGACCAGGGCAUCACUGAGCUCCUGGACAGUCUUGAGGUCCAACCUGGCGGCGUUGUGUGGAGGUGGAGGCUAUUGGAUUUAGGUCAGGCGAGCAUGGGGGCCAUUCAAUGGUAUCAAUUCCUUCAUCUUCCAGGAACUGCCUGCAUACUCUCGCCACAUGAGGCCAGGCAUUCUCGUGCACCAGGAGGAACCCAGGAUCCACUGCACCAGCGAAGAGUCUUACAAUGGCAGUCAGGGUACAACUGUCUAGCCUGUAGAGGUCUGUGCGUCCCUCCAUGGAUAUGCCUCCCCAGACCAUCAAUGACCCACUACUAAACCGGUCAUGCUGAACAAUGUUACAGGCAGCAUAACAUUUUGUAGGGCUCUGGCAGUGCUCAUCCUGUUCCUGCUGGCACAAAUGAACAGAUACCAGUCCUGCUUAUGGUUCAAGGACCUUCUAUGGCCCUGUCCAGCUCUCCUAGAGUAACUGCCUGUCUCCUGGAAUCUCCUCCUCAUUUUUGAGACUGUGCUGGGAGACACAGCAAACCUUCUGGCAAUGGCACAUAUUGAUGUGCCAUCCUGGAGGAGUUGGACUGCCUGUGCAACCUUUGUAGGUAUCGCCUCAUGCUACCAGUAGUGACACUGACCCUAGCCAAAUGUAAAACUAGUGAAAAACAGUCAGAAUGAGUAGGGGAAAAAAAUGUCAAUGGCCUCCACCUGUAAAACCAUUCCUGUUUUGGGGGUCAUCUUAUUGUUGCCUGUCUAGUGUACCUGUUGUUAAUUUCAUUAACACCAAAGCAGCAACUGAUUAACAACCCCCUCUGCUACUUAACUUACCAGAUCAAUAUCCCAGAAGUUUAAUGGACUUGAUGCUAUACUCUGAUUAAAAAGUGUUCCUUUCAUUUCUUUUUUUUUUAGCACUGUAUAAUAGUAUCUCAAUGCCACUAAAAUGUUAAAAAGGACAGCAAUCUUUUGUAACAUUAUAAAAGCCUUUAAUGGGGCUUUUAAUCAAUUUAAUGCAUCUUUGCUAACUAAAAGUAAAAAAAAAAAAAAAAAAUCUCACCUCAGACUUUUGAAGAGUAGUGUAUAUACUGUAUAUUCACUGUAUAUAUGUUGCAUCUGUUUAUUUGCAGUCACUUUACAAGUGCUCUCUCAACUCCUCAGCGUCUGUAUAAAUAAUACUACUGGAGCACUGCCAGUGGUUUAUGAUCUGCUUGUAAAAGUAUGCUGCUGCCAUUUUGAUUUGAGAGUGUUUCUGUUUGUCUUAAAGUGGUAAUCAGGUUGUAUUCCAUGUGUUUUAUUGUCUUCAUCUGAUUUACUGUCUGUAAUCAGCCAAAGGUGUAAAUGACACACCUGCGCCGUCUCCCUC